UUUUGAUUUCCAAUUAGAACAAGCCGGUUAGCCGAGAAAAGUAAGAGACUAAGCUUAGUUCAACAUUUUAGUCUCACCUCGUCUUUCUUUAUCUCCCUUGGCUCUUAAUUUGCCUUUCUGUACUUUCUUUUGUGUUAUUGCUUCUUUCUUUUUUUUUCUUCUUUCCACUUCUUUCUUCUUCAUCAUCAUCAUCUUCUUCAUCUCUUCAGUCUUCAUGUUGCAAAGUGUUGUUAGCUUUUUACAACAAGCAGAAAAAAAAGUGACUUUAAUAAAGGAAAAGCUUGGUUACAUUGGGUGGUUACUUUGAUUCCCUUAACAUCAUCAUCCAUCCUCAACUCUCCUCCUUUGGGGUUGAUGGGCUUUUGCUUUUGGCACAACACACACACACACACACACACAUAACACACAACCAAGCAACUUACUACACCAAGUUUAUUGUUGAUCCUACGCUGAGCAUGAUGAUGACUAUGAUGAUGAGUAUGAUGGUGAUUACAAUUAUGAUGUAGAUGAUGAUGAUGCCCACUAAAGAUGCUAUCAUCUAUUUAGUGGUUGGUUGAUUGUAUUUCAAUUUACGUGCGUCACUGAAAAUGAAUGGAACAAUGCUGUUCAAGAUUGUAAAUGAAGGGACAAACCAACGGAAUCAAGCGCAAGUCAACUGAAUUUAGUGAGGAAAAAAAAAACGAUUGAACCAAAGUAAAGAGGUUGACUGAAUCGAGUCAUUUUUUGCUCUCUGGUUUACGGUUACUUUUCUCAUCCUCAUCAUUCUCAGCAUUCCCAGCAUCUUCAUCAUUUGUUAAUUUGAGUAAACUUGUAUCGUCUCGCUAUUGAAAAAUUUUUCCUUCGCAUAUAAAUAAAUCAAUUGAGUUGGAAAGGAGAGACUGGGAGAGAAAUUAAAUCAUGCAUGUUGAGUUAUACUCUUAACUGUUCCAGUUGAUUAAUAUGCCUUGGAUCGUGUUCAGACAAAACUUUGCUUCACAUUUCAAUUACAAUCAUCUACAACACACACACACACACAACUUAAACUUCAAAUACACACAAAAGCUAAUUAAUCAGUAAUUCAUCAACAAUGGAUAAAGGAACAGGAGCAAGGAAAGAAAAUGGACUAAAUUGUUUCAACUAAUCAAACAAUUAGGAGAUAAAUUUUCAAACAAUUGGUUAAAAUGAUAGUUGAAUUGAUAAGUGAAAAUUGAUUUAAGUAAAAUUAUCCCACUUAACUGUUAUCAUUAUUAACCAGAAUCGCUUUUUUGUUAAUAAAUUCAUCAAUAACCAUUAUAUUGACAUUAGUAGGCAUACUAACAGUAUUUAGCAAAUUGAUUUCAAGGAUAUUGAUUUUUUACUGCCUAAGCACACACACACACACUCACUCAUCUUUUUAUUAUUCAAAUUUACUUUGAUAGUUAUUGAGUGUUUUGAUUGUUCUUAAACAUUGAAAUCAGGUUAAUCUUGAAGCAAAUUAUAUGAAUUACUUAAAUCAAUUUUCAUUUUAUUCAUCAUUGUUUAAUGAUUUCACUAUCAUAAUGUUUGGUGUUAAUUUAAACAACUACAAAGUUGAUGGAAGAAAAUGAAUUUAAUUUCAUCUCCUAAUAAGCUAAUGAUUAACUAAUAAUUUAAUAUUGUUUUCUUGGCGCUUACGUUAAGUAUUCUAAAAAAAGCAAUUAUUCCAAACAUCUCAUUAAUUUAUAGCUAACAAAAGGAUAAGAUCAUUUAAGUCUAAAUCACUUUGUUGGCUUUUCAUUAUUAAUUGAGCAAAUCACCACUUAAUGUAAAAAUCAUUUUAACCAUUUGCUUUGAAAAUUAACUCUCCAAUUGGUGUUGUAAUAUAAAGUAAAAGAUGGCUCCGUGUGUGUUGAAUUGUAUAUAAAAACAAAAUUGGUAAAGGCUUACGGGCAAAUUGAUUGAAACAAAUCAACAUCCAACCUGGAAGUGUAAACGAGUUGAUUGAAUGGCCAAAAUUGAACAUGAAAGCCAAUCUUUGAUUCAAGGCAUGCUUACAAAUUCAUCAUGAAAAGACUUGAAUAAUUAAGUAAUUAAUAUUGAAGAGAAGGAUAAUUGGAGGAUCCGCAAAAUUGAUUAGCAAAUGAACGAUAUGCUUGGUAAAUGUUAAUAAAUCAAUAUGGCGAUGAGGAUGGAAAAGGGCAAAUUGUAUUAUUACCAAAAGGAUGGCAAAAGUAAAGCUUUUGAAUUGGAUGUAAAGAUUUAAUAACACAAUAAGGAGCUUGUUUGAUUGUCAUUUAAAACACUUCACUUACAAUCCCUCAUUAUCUUCAAUUGAAUCCCCUUUCAUUUCCACCCCAUCAUCAUCUUCACCAUCUUCUUCUUCUUCUUCUUCUUCUUCCAUCAUUUCCUAAUCAAUUGACUGUGAAUAGUGUUUUUUUUAUUUUCCUUCAUCAUUCAACUCUCACCAUAUUUGUAGACAUUUAUUAAUGUAUAAUAUAAAUAUAACAACUACUUCAAUAAUAGGAGAGGAAGAUGAUGAUGAGGAUAAACUUUAUUUCUCUUCACAUAAAAAUGAUAACAAUUUUCAUCUCUUCUCUUCACUCAAUCGUUUGCAUUUUGUUCACUUGCAUUCAAACCCAUUUCACAAGGUUUUUGCCUCUUUUCCCUCUAUUUUUUUAUGAUAUGUUACUUUUUCAUUAUUGUUACUAAAUCUUUGAUUGUUACUAAUUCUAAAAGUAAUUUACAAUAUUCGAUUCUUUGAUCUCUUCCUUUUAUUAUUCAAUUCAACAAUAGGAUUAAGUAAAUAAUGAGUAGAUAAAUUGAUAAAUUGAAGAGUAAAUGUUAAAUUGUAUUGGAUCAAGGAUAAAAUUGUACAUUCAAUGGAAACACACUGAUAUGUAUCUAUAUUUGCUCUCUUUUUUUUGCUUUGCCAUCCAAAUAUUAUACCAAUUAUGUUUGAUGAAAAUCUUUUAAUCAACUGGCAACUCAUAAUCGCAUUGAUCCUCAAUGUUUGACAGUUUUGCCAUCUAAAUGUGUAUCAAUUGUUAUUCAAUUAUUUACCAAUCUGAUUGAUA